rnacentral:misc_RNA from 1 species
GCUUUCAAUAAAUAAAUGAAAGUGGACCAACCUUAAAGCCAAUGAAUCCUGCCAUACUCUAAUUCAAGCAAGCUCUCUCUUUGUAUAUACAUAAAAGCUUUAUCUUUUAUCCGUCUAUCAAUAUACGUUAAAGCUUUACCUUCAGCAGCCAUGGAAGCUCUCUCUCAGGUCUUAACUACCCUUAAAACCAUAACCAUACUCUGCAUCAAUCUCCUCCUCCUCAAAGUCACAGCUGCAAUUCAAUCUCUCAUCAGAAUAUUCUCCGGCCAACGCGUAUUCACCACCACCCAGUUCCUCAGUUACCUUGAACAAAUGAAUCCGGGGGUUCGCUACACAAAACUGCUCAUGAAGCUGCAGGAAACACCACCAGAAUUAUGUGCAGUGUGUCUAUCGGAGUUUGCUGUGGACGAAACCGUAAGAGACUUGAAGUGCAAGCAUGUGUUCCACAAAGAUUGCUUGGACAAGUGGUUGCUGCAGUGCAGGUCUACUUGCCCACUUUGCAGGACUAAGUUGUUGCCGGAUGAAGUGGUCGCUGGUUAUCGCCGGUUGAAAGAUGAUCAGAUAGGGUAUGAUCGGAGCAAUGAGGAGAUUGUUUUCUUGGUAUCUCAUGGUAAUGGUUUUUCAAGUUUUUGAUGAUAAAAAUUAAUUUGUGGAUUUAGAAAGGAAAUUUUUGACAGCAGAAGGGAAUUUUAAGUUCUUCAGCUUCUGAAGAAAUUAUGUAAAUGGUGUUGUUUUGGAAUUGAAAUUGAAAUCUAU